rnacentral:rRNA from 1 species
AUUGAACGCUGGCGGUAUGCUUAAGACAUGCAAGUCGAACGGUAACAGACCUUCGGGUGCUGACGAGUGGCGGACGGGUGAGUAACACGUGGGAAUCUACCUUGUAGUGGGGGAUAAGCCAGGGAAACUUGGACUAAUACCGCAUACGCCCCAAGGGGGAAAGGCGCAAGCCGCUAUAAGAUGAGCCCGCGUCUGAUUAGCUAGUUGGUGAGGUAAAGGCUCACCAAGGCGACGAUCAGUAGCUGGUCUGAGAGGAUGGCCAGCCACAUUGGGACGAGGACACGGCCCAAACUCCUACGGGAGGAAGCAGUCGGGAAUAUUGGACAAUGGGGGCAACACUGAUCCAGCAAUACCGCGUGUGUGAAGAAGGUCUGCGGGUUGUAAAGCACUUUUAGUAGGGAAGAUAAUGACGUUACCUACAGAAAAAGCACCGGCUAACUCCGUGCCAGCCGCCGCGGUAAAAC